rnacentral:lncRNA from 1 species
GAGAGAAAGACAGACCGGGCUCAGGACGUGGGAAGGGCGUGGCCGGUCAGCCUUAGCGCCAGGAUUGAAGGAGGCAAUAUCUCAAUGGCUUCUGAUUUGGGAAAUGCCUCAGUAUUGGAUCCCAUAUCUGUGCCUGCUUUGGACAUUCAGGCUCCAUUGAAAAAGGCUAACAAGAAGGGAGGGCUUCCAGAGGCCAAGCGGAAAGGACGGGCCAAAAAGAUGAACAAAGAUGCCGAGGAUCUGCUUUUGG